CCAGUACAGUAGGUGGCGGCAUGCACCUCUAACUUUUGUUUGCGAUGUCCAUUAUAUUAUAGAAGAAAAAUAAGACUUCCUCAAUUUCUCACUAGCAAAAUGGUUCCUCCAGUUGCAGUCUCUCCUGUCAUCAAGACGGCCAGGUGGUCAUUCUUGCUCAUUGGCAUGUUUUAUGGCAAACAAAGAUAUGACUAUCUGAAGCCAAGAGCAGAGAAAGAGAGGCUUGUUGAGGAGGCAGAGAAGAAGAUCCGAGAGGAGCAAGAGAAAAUUGCCAAAGCACUUGCAGAAGCCUCUGAAGACACCAUCCUGAAAUGAACUGCCUAUGGAUUCUGUUUGAAGAAUAAUGAAAUAAAAAACAUAAGUAAUUUAAUGUAUUAAAUAAUUAUUCUUGGAUAUAUCUGUUAAGAUAGUGAUGUGUUUUGACAUCCAGAUUCAUUUUUAUUUAUAUAUAUAUGCGCCAGAUGUUUCCCAAAUAUUCUAUAUGAAACCUAGCUGAAAUGUUUUGUAUAGUUAGAGGUGUUAGUCUCAAAUCUGAAAAUACACUGCUCAAAAAAAUAAAGGGAACACU